rnacentral:rRNA from 1 species
GCCGUGGAGGUGGAGGACCAACAUGGCUUCUGUAUUAUCGGAGUGCAUGUCUAUUCAUCUGAAACCGGGAGUUGGGUUUAUAAGGAGAAGAGAUGGAGCGGCAAUAUUGAUGUCGGUUAUGAUCCGUCAUUUAUCUAUAUCAAUGGUUAUCUGCAUUUUUGCGCCAUUGUUGAUGAUUCUGCCCGCCAGCUAGCUGCAGUGGACAAGGAGGGGGGAGCAAGGACUGACUUUCGUGUUCCUGAUGAUCUGGAUGUUUGUUUUAUUCAGCAGUCACAGGGCUGCCUGCAUUAUGCUGGUUUUGACAGAGGUGACAAUGAUGAUGAUGUUGAUCGACUGCUAGUUUAUGUUCUUAAAGACUACAACAGCAAAGAAUGGACACUGAAGCAUAGCAUCGAAACUUCACAUGUGUUUGGAGGGCGACAAGCAGUCAGCCUUUAUGAGGACUUUGAUUGGAUUGCAAUUCAUCCAGAAUGUAACUUGAUCUUCUUCACUCUGGCCUGGGAGGAUAUCACAUUCAUGUGCUAUGAUAUGGAUCAUGGACAAGUUAAAGUGAUCUGCAAUCUUGAAGAAAGCAAG